UACUGGUUAUCUUGAGUUGUAUUGAAGUAGGCGGAAUAUGUAGUGUAGCGGUGAAAUGCAUAGAUAUUACAUAGAACACCAAUUGCGAAGGCAGCUUACUAAGUACUAACUGACGCUGAUGGACGAAAGCGUGGGUAGCGAACAGGAUUAGAUACCCUGGUAGUCCACGCCGUAAACGAUGGAUACUAGCUGUUCGGGGCCUUGAGCUCUGAGCGGCUAAGCGAAAGUGAUAAGUAUCCCACCUGGGGAGUACGUUCGCAAGAAUGAAACUCAAAGGAAUUGACGGGGGCCCGCACAAGCGGUGGAGCAUGUGGUUUAAUUCGAUGAUACGCGAGGAACCUUACCAGGGCUUAAAUGUAGUCUGACAGCUUUAGAGAUAGAGUUUUCUUCGGACAGAUUACAAGGUGCUGCAUGGUUGUCGUCAGCUCGUGCCGUGAGGUGUCAGGUUAAGUCCUAUAACGAGCGCAACCCCUGUCGUUAGUUGCCAGCAUGUCAUGAUGGGGACUCUAACGAGACUGCCGGUGCAAACCGCGAGGAAGGUGGGGAUGACGUCAAAUCAUCACGGCCCUUACGUCCUGGGCCACACACGUGCUACAAUGGCCGGUACAGAGAGCAGCCACGUCGCAAGGCGGAGCGAAUCUAUAAACCGGUCACAGUUCGGAUC
rnacentral:rRNA from 1 species